rnacentral:rRNA from 1 species
AUUGAACGCUGGCGGCAGGCCUAACACAUGCAAGUCGAGCGGAUGAAGGGGGCUUGCUCCUGGAUUCAGCGGCGGACGGGUGAGUAAUGCCUAGGAAUCUGCCUGGUAGUGGGGGAUAACGUCCGGAAACGGGCGCUAAUACCGCAUACGUCCUGAGGGAGAAAGUGGGGGAUCUUCGGACCUCACGCUAUCAGAUGAGCCUAGGUCGGAUUAGCUAGUUGGUGGGGUAAAGGCCUACCAAGGCGACGAUCCGUAACUGGUCUGAGAGGAUGAUCAGUCACACUGGAACUGAGACACGGUCCAGACUCCUACGGGAGGCAGCAGUGGGGAAUAUUGGACAAUGGGCGAAAGCCUGAUCCAGCCAUGCCGCGUGUGUGAAGAAGGUCUUCGGAUUGUAAAGCACUUUAAGUUGGGAGGAAGGGCAGUAAGUUAAUACCUUGCUGUUUUGACGUUACCAACAGAAUAAGCACCGGCUAACUUCGUGCCAGCAGCCGCGGUAAUACGAAGGGUGCAAGCGUUAAUCGGAAUUACUGGGCGUAAAGCGCGCGUAGGUGGUUCAGCAAGUUGGAUGUGAAAUCCCCGGGCUCAACCUGGGAACUGCAUCCAAAACUACUGAGCUAGAGUACGGUAGAGGGUGGUGGAAUUUCCUGUGUAGCGGUGAAAUGCGUAGAUAUAGGAAGGAACACCAGUGGCGAAGGCGACCACCUGGACUGAUACUGACACCGAGGUGCGAAAGCGUGGGGAGCAAACAGGAUUAGAUACCCUGGUAGUCCACGCCGUAAACGAUGUCGACUAGCCGUUGGGAUCCUUGAGAUCUUAGUGGCGCAGCUAACGCGAUAAGUCGACCGCCUGGGGAGUACGGCCGCAAGGUA